rnacentral:rRNA from 1 species
UGCCAGCAGCCGCGGUAAUACGGAGGGUGCAAGCGUUGCUCGGAGUUACUGGGCAUAAAGCGCGCGUAGGUGGCUUAGUAAGCGGAGAAUGAAAUCCCAUGGCUCACCCAUGGAACUGUUUUCCGAACUACUAGGCUUGAGGACAGGAGGGGGAAGUGGAAUUCCUGGUGUAGCGGUGAAAUGCGUAGAUAUCAGGAGGAACACCGGUGGCGAAAGCGACUUCCUGGCCUGUUCCUGACACUGAGGCGCGAAAGCUAGGGGAGCAAACAGGAUUAGAUA